AUGAAAGUGUCCGUUGCCAUUCCACUAGCAAUAUGGUUGAUCCUGAUGAUUCAUUCAGCAAGUACUGAUAGCAAUGCGGAGGGAUGUACGACACCUGAUUAUGGGACAAUACCAGGUUAUGGGGCAAACUCAGAGCGAUACAAUACUUUCUUUCGUGGCAUGUACCAUCAGAAGAAACAGAAGACAGAUACGCCGCACUCAAGUAGAAGCAGGGACAUACGUUUUACCAAGUUUAAUGGAGAAACCGUUGUACAACACCGACGUCAAAAAAUGAAUCAGUAGUCUGGAAACUGCUGUUUUGUAAAGAAAAAAAUGACGUUGUGAAUGUGGAACUUAUUGGGGAAGGUUAUGGAUUGAAUUUUAUUAAACUUGUAAAGUGACGUAAUAAUUCAUUUUAUGCUUGCUUGUUUUGGAGUUUUUUUUAAUUUUUUUUUUCAAAUUGCAUUUUCAUUUGUUACUUCUUUAAAAGGUUGAA